rnacentral:pre_miRNA from 1 species
AAUAAACCAAAUUUUCACUUUUUACCUAUAAUUUUUGACUCUUCGUCUUAUUCAAAUUUUUUUUUGUGAUUGAUAUUUUUGUUUGUAUUAGAUAAUAAUCAUGAAUAGUACUUUACGUGUGACUAUUUAUUUUCUAAUUUUCUGAAAAUUUUUCAAAUAAAAUGUAUAGUCAAACGUUGGACACGGAAACCGAAG